AGCGAAAGCGAGUCUUAAAUGGGCGACUAAGUUAGAUGGAUCAGACCCGAAACCAGAUGAUCUAGGCAUGAGCAGAAUGAAGGUUGGGUAACACCAACUGGAGGUUCGAACCCACACCUGUUGAAAAAGGUCGGGAUGACUUGUGCCUAGGGGGUGAAAGGCCAAUCAAAUCUGGAGAUAGCUGGUUCUCCGCGAAAGCUAUUUAGGUAGCGCCUCGGACGUAUCCUCCUGGGGGUAGAGCACUGCAUGGAUGAUGGGGGCCCACAGCCUUACUGAGUCUAAGCAAACUCCGAAUACCAGGAAGGACUAUCCGGGAGACACACGGCGGGUGCUAACGUCCGUCGUGGAGAGGGAAACAGCCCAGAUCACCAGCUAAGGUCCCUAAGCGUGUGCUAAGUGGGAAAGGAUGUGGAGUUGCAUUGACAACCAGGAGGUUGGCUUAGAAGCAGCCACCCUUUAAAGAGUGCGUAAUAGCUCACUGGUCAAGUGAUUCCGCGCCGACAAUGUAGCGGGG
rnacentral:rRNA from 1 species